rnacentral:rRNA from 1 species
CGCCAGACUCCUACGGGAGGCAGCAGUGGGGAAUAUUGCACAAUGGGGGAAACCCUGAUGCAGCGACGCCGCGUGAGUGAAGAAGUAUUUCGGUAUGUAAAGCUCUAUCAGCAGGGAAGAAAAUGACGGUACCUGACUAAGAGGCCCCGGCUAACUACGUGCCAGCAGCCGCGGUAAUACGUAGGGGGCAAGCGUUAUCCGGAUUUACUGGGUGUAAAGGGAGCGUAGACGGCAUGGCAAGUCAGAUGUGAAAGCCCGGGGCUCAACCCCGGGACUGCAUUUGAAACUGUCAGGCUGGAGUGCAGGAGAGGUAAGUGGAAUUCCUAGUGUAGCGGUGAAAUGCGUAGAUAUUAGGAGGAACACCAGUGGCGAAGGCGGCUUACUGGACUGUAACUGACGUUGAGGCUCGAAAGCGUGGGGAGCAAACAGGAUUAGAUACCCUUGUA